AGGCCACGUCCACUAGCACCCCCGAGGCAGAGCAGGGAGCCAGGCCUUAGGCGGCAGCCAGUCUCUCCCCACCUGGAGGGGCUGGGUGAGCGCAGGUGGUGGAGGUGUCAGAGGCCGGCCCACACCCUGCAGGAGCCCCCGCAGCAGCUGCAGCAGCUGGGAAGGAGGUGCGAAGCCAGAGCGCCCCAGGCACCUGGGGGAGAGACUGGCAAGGAGACUGCGGUGGUUCUUCUGGAAAGCUCCAGUGCUGGGAGCCGGGGUGUAUCCCUCCGGGGACCCAGCCAAGAGCCUGGAGUGUUGGACGUCCACCCCUCCUCGGCCACCUGUGAAUGACACUUGUCCCCAGGUCCAUGCAGCUACCAACAGAGCACUCCACAGCCUCUGCAGAAGCAGCAUUUUUAACUGGCAGCAGUACUUCUGGAGCCUGAGAGGGCAGAGGCUGCACCCAGUGGUGAGACCCACAUAACUGGAAACUUCCCUGCAGCUGAGGCUCACUCUGAGCUCCUGAACGCCAAGGCUGGAAAUGUGAACAGACCUCUCCCCACCUCUUCCUGAAGCCAGGCAGCAGGAUCCUUGAACCACAACAACUUUGCACAGAAGAGGUUGACUGCUAUGACAUAUGCAGCCACCUUGUUAGGGUAUAGUAGGUUCCACCGGAUUCCUCACCCAAGAGCAAGGCUGCUGGUAGAGACAUGACCAGCUGUCCUCCAAAACUGGACAUGGCCACCCAGCCAGCCUCCCUGGCAUUGCGUGUGACCCUCACCAUAGCCACAGGAUGAUGCCUUUCAAAAUGUGACCCCUCCCUGGGAUGAUUGCACAUCCUUCUGAUAAAGUUGGAAGCCAGUGGAAUGGUCAGUCGUCUGCUCGAGCAUUUCGGGGAGUACUGGGCUUGAGAAAACCUGACUUGCAGUGUGUUCCUCAGUCAUCUGCUGCCAUGGGGUGGCACAGCUCUCGGUGACACCAUCAGUCUGGACCCACGCCUCUGCCUUCACUCACAGUACCUUUUUCCUUUUAAAAAUCUAGUCUUGAUUGUUCUCUUUGGUAAGGACUGGACUACAAGCCUGAGGUUACUCCUUCGGCCUGGAGCUUUUCCCAGCCUUCCCUUAAUCACUCACAUCAAUAAGAAAAACAAUGAGCUGCCACUCGGACCUCCCACCCAAGAGCGUCCACUGCUCUUUCUAGUACCUUCUGUCUUCCAGUGUAUUGGCUGGGUGGCUCCCUUUUGAAUAGAUAUAACAGGCAGGUGGCAGGCUCCCCCUAACCAUGAGUGUGCCAGCACCCACAGCCACUAGGAAUUGCAAGCCAGCCUGCCAAGGUCAAGUCAUCUCUGGAAAGAGCCAUGCUGCUGAGGAAGAGAGCCUCACAUAAGUCACCUGUUGUCUUCCCUCUCCGGGGCCAGGCUGGAGGAUCAUGCAAGGUCAAGGUGCUCUCGCUGGCUCACAUGCUCUUGCACCAGCUGUGGUUGUGGGCCUUGUCCAUUCUGGAAGAUAAACACUCCCAUGAACUGCCUCAGGUGUGUACAUGCCUACACCAUGGCCAGGCUUCCCCACCACGGGGAUUUGUGCACUAUCCAGAGACUGUCCGUGAGCAUCGGGAAACCCCUUGGGCCUUGGGAUCAGACUUUUGGGGGUUUAGAGCUUGAUUCCUCCACUUAAUUGGUAGCCUUUGUUCCUCUCUGAGCUGCUUCUCCUGGGUGAAAUGCAGCAAUCAGAGUAUUCCUAUCUUGUGGAGAUUGGAUAGGCUAAGUGUGCAGAGCACUUACUGCAGAAACAGGCACUCCACAAACGGGCUACUUUGGUUGUCGGAAUGUGGCUAAGCUCCUCUUGAAUACCUACACAUUUAUUUCCUCAAACCAUCAAUCACUUAUCCCGUAAACAUUCACUAAGUGCCUAAGAACACACCAGUUGUGGAGCUGCGAGGGGGGCUGAGACGCAUGGGAGACAAUGGGGGGACCCCACACGGAGCAGGGCUGGCUCUGUGCUAAGUGCGGGGUAUUGAGCAGAUCAGCCCCAGCAUCUGAAUUUCGGGUUCACACAUUCAUUUAGCUAAGAGACAUCACGGCCCAUGGCAGCUCUUGUAGCUUUCUGGGCACCAGAAUUUCUUUAGGAGUCAGUGUGCUCAGGAGAGAGCACCCGGGAGGCCCACUUUCCACUCCAUCCUGUCCUGUGCUGAGACCCUGCUUCCCGCCUGCAGCAAGGAGUACCUGCUUUCUCACCAGGAGCCUCGUGCCCUCUGCCUUGAUGGUACUGAAAGCAAUGGUGCCUGGCAAGAUCAUCCUGGCCUCUUCCUUAAGGGCUGUGUGGUUUUGGUCCUUAUCCUGGGUCUUCCUGAUUGGUCAUGUUGAUUUGUUCGUGUUGUCAGCCCUGUUACUCAGCCUGUACUCUGACAUCAUGUUAUUACAGCACAAGUGACACACUUGCAUAAAAAUUUCAGGAAAAAGUGGAUAUUCCUGGAAAUAAAAUUACUCAGAGGCCACAUGUUAAAGACAUUCCACUGGGCUAAUUUAUUCUGUUUCCCACAGAUCUGCAGCCAUGAGUGACUCAUCUUUAAAAUAGCUCUAGAGGGAUGCCUAGGUAGCUCAGUAGUUGAGCA